rnacentral:rRNA from 1 species
CGUAGGGUGCAAGCGUUGUCCGGAAUUAUUGGGCGUAAAGAGCUCGUAGGCGGUCUGUCGCGUCGGACGUGAAAACCCAGGGCUCAACCCUGGGCCUGCGUUCGAUACGGGCAGACUAGAGUUCGGUAGGGGAGACUGGAAUUCCUGGUGUAGCGGUGAAAUGCGCAGAUAUCAGGAGGAACACCGGUGGCGAAGGCGGGUCUCUGGGCCGAAACUGACGCUGAGGAGCGAAAGCGUGGGGAGCGAACAGGAUUAGAUACCCUGGUAGUCCACGCCGUAAACGUUGGGCGCUAGGUGUGGGGAACCUUCCACGUUCUCCGUGCCGCAGCUAACGCAUUAAGCGCCCCGCCUGGGGAGUACGGCCGCAAGGCUA